UCCGGCCUGCCGUGGAAACUUUCUCAGUCAGACAACAUUUAUUUUUAUUACGGAUAUUCAUUUUAACAUGUGUUUCUCUCUGCCCACCGUGCCAGCUCUCUUUGUUCUGCUUGCAAUGGCCAUUAAUACCGGGGUGACAGUGAACCUCUUGGGCAAGCGCUUUGGUGACUGGCGCUUCUCUUGGUCCUACAUACUAGGCUGGGUGGCUCUGCUCAUGACCGUCUUUGCAGGUAUAUUCUACAUUUGUGCCUACAGAAUGCAUGAGUGCAGAGGAGUGGCUGGCCCACAUUAAAAUGAACAAGAAAUGAUGUCACAUGGGUGUAAAGGAUAUGACUUAAAUAAUACAAUUUGGAAUUUGCAUAUGCAC